AGCGUUAGGGCCCCGCGAGGGGAAAUGAGGGGCGCCGCGGAAGAAGUGGCGCCCACUGGGCAAGUGCCGCCCCCACGACUCCCGGAGCUGGACGGCACCGAACUAAGGGCACCACCUGUGAGAUCGAGCCCCUCUAGCCCUGUAAUCAAGUGACCGCAGGGAUCCAUGGUCCGUGCGCACCACUCUGAGGGCAGGUGUUCCCAGUGCUGGCUCUUGUUCAGGUUUCACUUCUGUGCCAAUUCUCUUAUUUGGUCCCCCUCCCCCAAUACAAUCCUACAGGAUUGUUUUUUGUUUUUGUUUUUGUUGUUUUUUGUUGGGGGGGGGGGGGGCGCGGGUUGCUGCUGAGGAAACAGCCUUCGAAAGAAUAAGUGAUAUGGGCAAGACCACGUAGUAACUGAAAAGAAACACAUUUCAGCCUCCCAUUUCUCUAUUGUAUCUUAGUGAAAAAUGCCAAGACGUCGUCUGUGGAUAAGAGAAGAAACAAGAUUGUUGGGGGCCAUACAAAUAAUGACUGGUCUGAUUGUUCACUUCGUGGGACAGCUCUGGACGUAUUUGUUUACCACACAAGUUAUUGCAUUUGGAAAAGCGUAUCUUCCUCUUGUAGUAAUAACAAGAUACGCAUAUUGGUCAUCUGUGUGUUUUCUCUUCUCAGGAGUCUUUGCAGUAUUAACAGAGAGGAUGCGUUCAACAUUCUUGAUGUCCUAUACUAUGGCAGUGAACAUCGUAAGUGCCUGCGCUGCCGUGAUUGGUCUGCUUAUACUAUCAUUUGAGUUUAUAAUAUACAGUUUGACUACACAAGCUCCUAUUUGGCCCGAGAGAAGUGGUAAAAUCCUUUCAGAAUAUCUGUUUUUAUUCACCAUCUUGGAGUUGUUUACAGCGUGCACAGUGGCCCAUUGGAUAUACAAAGCUAAACAUCUCAGAUAAUAAAGAUGUGGAGAAUGGAAAUGCAAAUUGCCAAAUAAUGUGAAAAAAAUGAAGGAGCCCAAGGAAACCUUUCAUCUAAGCUAUGAGAUGAGGUACACGGCAGAAGGGGAUCCUUUUCCUACAUAUUAAAGAACCGUAAUGACCUGAGUCAAGGAGGAAAGCAUAGUGGUGAAUGAAGAACUUCAUUUUGUUCAAGAGGCUUCUUGGAAAAUGCAUUUUAAUGAAGUCCAUCGUAGUAUUUCCU